rnacentral:lncRNA from 1 species
AGACUAUUGAAAUAGGGAGAAUUCUGUGACCAUAAAAUUCUGCAAGUGUCUUAAGAGUUAGGAAAAAAGAGUUUCUCUUUUAUAAGGAAGAGUAAACAAGACUAAAAAACUGGCUGUGGGAAGCUGAUUAGAAGGGUGGGGUGUUCAGAUGGUGGAUUAGAGAGUGUUUACCCUGAGAGCAGCCUAUUGUCAGAAGGCCUGUAAAGGAGGAGUUGUAUGCUGGCUCAGCCUGAGAGUUCGUGGAGGUCCCAGGACCUGGAGGAAGGAGAUAAACUUAACCAAAGUUGAGCUAAAACACAUUUUGUUCCAGCUAAUUAGGGAGAGACCAGCAGUUCAGCUAAUUAUGAGGCAAAGAAUGGGAAUUUGGAAACUCUGUUGGCCUUUGCCAUAGGAAAACAAGGAGAGCAUCUGUGAGUCCUAGAGUCUAGCUCUGUCAUCCAGGCUGGAGUGUACUGGUGUGAUCUCGGCUCACUGCAACAUCCUCCUCCCGGGUUCAAGAGAUUCUCCUGCUUCAGCCUCCCAAGUAGCUGGGACUACUGGCGCAUGCCACCACGACUGGCUAAUUUUUGUAUUUUUUAGUAGAGAUGGGGUUUCACCAUCUUGGCCAGGCUGGUCUCGAACUCCUGACCUCAGGUGAUCCACCCGUCUCGGCCUCCUAAAGUGCUGGCAUUACAGGCGUGAGCCACCGUGCCCAGCCACCAGCAGUAAAUUUUUGAGGAACUUAAACUACCAGCCUUAUCUUGGUAGAUACCCCAUCGUCUCAAUCUUGAUGAGCCACAGGCAUUUUGUUGUUACUGUUAUUUGAAUUUUUAUAAUCCAAGCCAUUAAAGAGACAAGUCUGGUCAGCUUAUUAUAUGGUAUCAACAAUUGGCUCAAAUGGGAAGAGCAGUUGUUGUAGACUGAAUUGUGUCUCCCCCAAAUCCAUAUGUUGAAACUCUAACACCCAAUAUGACUGGAUUUGGAGAUCGUUCCUUUAAAGAGAUGAUUAAAGUUAAAUAGGGUCAUAAGGAUGGGUUCUUAAUCUGAUAGGACUAGUGUCCUUAUAAUAAGAGGAAGAAACAUCAGGGAUGGACACACACACAGAGAAAAGAUCACAUGAGGACACAGCAAGAAGGAAACCAUCUGCAAGUCAGAAGGAGGCCUCAGGAGGAACCAAUCCUGCUGUCAUUUUGGACAGCUGAUCUUGGACUUUCAGCUUCCAGAACUGUGAGAAAAUAAAUUUAUCUUGCUCCAGAAACACAGACUGUAGUAUUUUGUUAAUGCAACUCGAACAGACUAAUAUGGCAGUCAAGGAAAAAAGCUGCGAUUGUAUAUUAUUGAUUGCAAUUAUUAAUUGUGAAAUUAUCACAAUUAAAUGCGUAUGAAAUUUACCUCUGAAUGAUUAAUCGCAACUAGAUAAUUAGGAAGAAACCAACAUUUACAUGUACCAUAAGUAUAACAUUUGCAAUUGUUUUACUACAUGGAACAUUUACAUAAUAUUUUAAAAAGUAAAUAUUGUUGAUUUAAGAUGUUUAUAGAUAUAUGAUUUUUAAAAAAACUGAAACAUCUGUGCCUGCGCCAUCAUCAUACUAUAAUCAGAGAGUAAUCAAAACUAGUUUCAGCACUUUGAAGAAAGGAUACUUGAAUUCCUGGAAAUUAAGAAUGCCUGCUAUGGUAUGAGAACUGCUGUUUGGGUUAAAUAUUUUCCAUUUAUGUAGAGAGAGAACCACUCACUUGAGUAUGUAGAACUGCACCACAAUUUGUAGCGUGAAUUUUAAUUAGUAGGCAAAGAUGCAG